GGCCUGUGCUGUAGGGAGUGAAAAGUGGCGACUCUUGAAGCGGGCCUGCUGCCCCAGGGGUGCCCCGGCCACCUCCCUGUGUAUCUCAGAGAACUCAGCUUCACCUCCUUCCCUGAUGUGACUUCUCCCAGAGCAGACUCGCACUGCUAAGACGUGAGGAGCAAUGGAUCACGACCGGGGUACCGAGUGAGGCAGGUUAGAUGACAUUCCUGCCUGGAACAGAUACAACUGCAGUGUGGAGAGCUAUCCUCAUAUGGCUGCAAGCACGCAAUGCUGAUGGGCGAGUUAAGUGUCCUCAGCCACCCCUUCUCUCUCUGCAGUAAAUUCACCUCGUGGGCGCAGGGUCCCGGAAUACGAAGCUGCCACUGCACUUGUGCUGCUCACAGCUCUGCUGCUGUCACCGUGCUGGUACAGGUGUGAGUGCUAGAGCACACACCUUAAACACCUCUUUAAAGAGAAAACUCUUGGUGAGUCAGGCACAGUUCUGUUGCACCCCAUGCAGGAUCACUGCAGGGUAGUUUAUGACAGAAAGCAAAGAUCUCUGUGGUCUGUAGAAAUGACGCUGACAGUCUGCUAGAUAUAAGACAAGUUUCACCAGACAAAUUGAGUUAUGUGGUGACAAAUGUCAUCAGCUGCAACACUAAAAUGUUACCUCAGUUUGCUCUUCCUUGCUCUUAUAAGCAUAAAUUAUUACAUUUAGCAAGAUGUCAUACCUGCUUUUUAAAAAAAUGCUUUCUGUGUGGUGACAUCAGACUUUGUACUAGAGGUGUUUGCAUUGCUGAAAAUUUGGAAAAGGAAAUGAAAAUGCUAACAAAAUGUUUUCUGAAAUGUUUAAAAUGUAGUUUUUCUUUAAAAUUCAGUGUCCCAUUGAAUAGUUAUGUAACAAUGCUUAAAUGCAGUCUUUUCUUAGUCUUUCAUUUGGCAUAAUGAAAAUAAUGUAAAGUCACAUCAAAAUACAAAAACAACUACCAUGAAACAAAAUCCUUAUGAAUCCUGUCAUUCUUAAGAAAUCAUGUUUGGCAGAAACUUACAUCUUUUAAGUUUUGUUAUAAAGUAAAAAAAAAAAAAAAAAAAAAAAUAAAAAUUAAAAAGCAAAGUAAACAUAUAUCUCCUCAUGCCUGAAAGUCCACUUCCACUUCUCAGUGUCUUUUUAGAGCGUUAGGCCAAGUUCCAAGAGGGAUUCACUCUCUACUAGAGCUCCAAUCCCCUCAAGAGCAUUAGGCUUAGUGCCAGCAUUCAUUUACUCUUGGAACAGCUUAAAUUAACUCCUGUUACAUUCUGUCUAAACCCUUUCUUACAGAGUAAGAGUUGAGAGCUGGAUUCAGUCAGUUAGGCUGAAGGCCACCCAUCAUGCUUGUCUGUCUUCCUCGACCUGAAAUGCUGCAUAAACUGGAUUGGGGAAGGCAGUGAUCAGCUGUGUGUAAGUUGAAGGGGGAAGCUGGCAAGCCAUCUUUUGUAUACAUGUCCCCAUUUCACAAGAAACAGCGUGGGGGUUGGUCUGACUUAUUUAACAUAAGUACAUAUGACAGUAAGCUCCAACCAAAUGUGAGAUUUUAGUAGGCUGUGCAGUGUUCUAACAGUAUUUUGAUACUUUCCUGGCAGAGCUGAACAGACAAGCUAAUCAAAAGACAACAAACAUCACUGCUUGAUUUUGUAAGAACUGGAUUGUAAGAUUAUAUUUUGCCAAAUGUCAGACAGAAGAUUGAAAUGGAAGGUCUCACAAAGAAAGCCAGACCUUCUUUAGCCCCUUCAAACUUAUAUGGUCUCUUAAAAAUAUCACUUUUAUUUUACUUUAGCAAACAUGAGAACAAUUGGUUUGCCUAUUAUUACACGGCAAACGCUCUGAAGCAGCUGAGGACGUAAGCACAGGGAAGACAAGUUUUCCAAAAAGCAGUAACACAAAAUGUUCUUAGCAAACUUAAAAAAGUACAGGGUAAUUGGACAGAACUGGGCAGUCAUUAAAGUUGACCAGCUGAUACUUUGGUCUCUAUCCAGAGGCUCAAAAGUCCUGUACCAAGGUCUUCAUGGUGAAGGCUAGAAGUUGACUUCAGGGAUUUCCAAAGCUGCUUUGUAUGACUGUUAUUUAUAGAAUAGUUACAACCUUUCAAGGUCAUCUAGUCCACCUCCUUCCAAUGAGCAGAAUCAUCUUCAGCUAGGUCAGGUGGCUCAGAGCCCUGUUCAACCUUAACCAUUUUCAUAAUUUCUACCCAUCCCUCCUCCACAAGAAAAAAAACCAAAACAAACAAACAACAAAUAGACGAGAGAUUAGUUUCAAGGAAUCUGAAUUACCUUCCUUGGAUGAAGAAUCUUUUAAGCUGUUAGUUUACAAAAAGUUCAGUUGUUUUGUAUGCUAUGAAGAUGAUGGAAAUGGAAGUAGUUACCAGACAGUCAGCAUUCAUCUACUAGUAAAACUGAAAAUAAAUGUGAGCAUUUUGUGGCUAGAUAACACUAUUCAGUUCAUAAAUAAGAGUUCACAACAAUCUUUGUAAUUAGGAGCUACACUAUAAAUAUAGCUUAUCUUCAAAUAUUUUCAACUUGCUAAAGUUACUUGAAAGCUUAUCAUGAUAGAGUGCAUUUAAAAGGAAAAGAAUUAAAAUUUAUCUAAGAUAUGUGUCCCCAAAUACCUCUCAUAGCAUUCAUUUAUAUAGACCUUUCUAACACGCUGCCUUCCCACACUCUUUGUAUGUAGUUAGCUGAAAAACAUUACUGGCAUGUAAGUUCCCUCAAACUUCAGAAUAACUUUUUUUAAGUUAACUUGAAAAUCAGAGAAAAAAGUUGAAAGCAAAAUUCUUACUUUAAAAAAAAUUAAUUUGAAAAGAUAGCAGUAAUGGAAUUGGAAAGAUUUUAAAAUAUGGUUUCUAAGUUGGCAGUGACCUUUUUGGGAUAAAUAUUUCAUUUAUUAAAGAAAUGGUACACAGACUGCUUAAACGCUAAUGUGAAUACAAAAAGCAGAUCAAAAGUGGUUCUCUUGUGAAGGAAUAUUUAUUUUUAAAAUUUGAAUAGUAUAUUUGCUGUUACUUUCUAAGUAAGGCUGUAGAUCUCAAUUCUGUGACAAGUUGCAUAUAUUCUGCCUAAUUUUAAGCAUUUUGAAAAAUUCUGUGGUCUGAACCAAGACUACUUUGACUGCAUAAAAUUAACUGUAUACAUAAAUCUUUGAAGACUGGGGACUUUCUUGCAAUUAGAUGAGAACUGUAGUUCAACUGCUGUUAUAUCUUUUAAUGAUAAGAUCCCACAGCACUUUUGCAACAAUAAUAGAGGUCCCCUGAAAGCAUUUUAAGUAAUGGAAUUACAGCACUUGUUUUAGUGGUUAUAUUUUCCUCAGGUUUCCAACUGAAUAAGUUAUCCUUCAUUUUUUCUUCCCUUUCAAACAUUCUCCUGUAGUGCUGCUAGCACUGAUUAAAAAGAGAGACCUAUAUCUGAAAUCCUAUCAUUUUGAUAUUUAACCUGUAUUUUUAUAUACAUACAAAUAUAUGCACAUUUAUAUAUCUAUUUUGCCUAUAAAAUAUUAUUCAUAGGAUUUCCUGAAAUCUUAUUCCCAGUGCUUCCUAUAUAAAUAUGUAAUUGUGUUGCUGGGAUCAUGCUGUAUUUCAGGGAGUGUUUCUUCUCUUUUCCUUCAUUCUCUGAAAUCAGUGUGAGCAUUGCAAUCAAUUUUAAUUAUACUAGUAUUUCACUCUGAGUUUUAUAGGAAGAGUUGGCAGCAAUAACUAUAGUUAAGAUUGCCUAAGACUUUCUGCAGUAUAGAUUCUGUACUUAAAAAGAGAGAGGGAUAGAAAUUGUACAUAAGGGUACAAUAAAACAUGUCAAGAUUAGCAAAGUUAAUUUUAUCUGUGUUACUUGAAAAACCAGAAGGCUUUAUUAGGGACUCUGACUUUAAAUUUUUAAGUGCAAUGUGACUGAGACUGAUAUAAUUUAAAAUUAUUAUUAUUAUGUAGUUCAAAAAAUACUAUAAAGAUGGCAAGGCAUUACUUCACAGUAUUACCAAAGAAACAAUUAUAGAAUUAUCAGUAUUGUAACCUGUAAAAUAUUUUUAAAAUAUAUGUUUUCUGGAAAUGUUGAAGUAGAAGCAGCAUCAUAUAUUUAUUUCUUGUUUCUUUUCCCAGACUGCUCUAAAGCAACUAUUAAUAACAUGUUGUACUGCUACUGUGAUUUAUUAAUGAAAGUUACUUUAGUUAUCACAUCCUUAAUACUACUGAACAUGGUGGAGUGUAUAUAAUUAUUUCUGUAAAAAAUAAAGGAAUAAUAAAACUCUAAAUUAC